rnacentral:rRNA from 1 species
AUUGAACGCUGGCGGCAGGCCUAACACAUGCAAGUCGAGCGGAUGAAGGGAGCUUGCUCCUGGAUUCAGCGGCGGACGGGUGAGUAAUGCCUAGGAAUCUGCCUGGUAGUGGGGUAUAACGUCCGGAAACGGGCGCUAAUACCGCAUACGUCCUGAGGGAGAAAGUGGGGGAUCUUCGGACCUCACGCUAUCAGAUGAGCCUAGGUCGGAUUAGCUAGUUGGUGGGGUAAAGGCCUACCAAGGCGACGAUCCGUAACUGGUCUGAGAGGAUGAUCAGUCACACUGGAACUGAAACACGGUCCAGACUCCUACGGGAGGCAGCAGUGGGGAAUAUUGGACAAUGGGCGAAAGCCUGAUCCAGCCAUGCCGCGUGUGUGAAGAAGGUCUUCGGAUUGUAAAGCACUUUAAGUUGGGAGGAAGGGCAGUAAGUUAAUACCUUGCUGUUUUGACGUUACCAACAGAAUAAGCACCGGCUAACUUCGUG